AGUGGGGCCAUUUUUUUGUACUAUACACACAAAAAAUCAUUACAAUAACAUAUCUAAAAUAAAAUCAAGUGACCAAGAUAUUCUCAAAAUGCCAGUGGAGGUUCCUACCAAACAAAUAAUAGAUCUGCACUCUCAAAGGUUAUGCCUACAUAUGGAAGAGCAUCUACAAUAGCUAGGAAUCUGAAUUACCAGAAUGGAAGCCUCGCG
rnacentral:misc_RNA from 1 species